rnacentral:misc_RNA from 1 species
GAGUGUACAGAGAGAGAGAGCAGAGAGCUGAACCUUGUUUUCAUAUUUCUCAUAUCCGCGGUUUUACUUCUCUCAUCUCAACUCUUACAGUACCAAGCCUUGCACAAAGAACAACAUCUCUAAUGUUGGAACUCGGAUUCCGGGUUUUAAUCCUAUGUGGGAUUACAGUUCUCAGAUUGGAUUUAAUCCUUAGCUCAGACGUUAGUUCACACAAUUCUUAUUUUGACGGGAGAAGAUUGGACGAUAUCAGAACCGACAUAAUUCUACUCUCCGACCCGGAGAAUAUUAGAACGAAGCGAGAUACUAAUUCAUCCGGGAGUCAAGUAACCAACUCAACUGAAUCCUCCGAAAUAUCAGACCCGGAUUUAAAACGGGGUUACUCACAGUCCAACGAGUUCUUGAAUGAUGUUGAUAUCAGUGAAGAUACAAUAAAAAAUACUAUUCAGAGUCAUAAUCAUUCUAUUUCAAGCAAAAAUGAAACCACCAAGUACUACCAGACGGAUUUCCUUGUGUCGGGGGACCAGUAUUUCCGGGACCUGGACUUGGUCAACCAUACAGGAGAGUUCAAGGGUCUGGUUCAGGAGCACUCAAUGCUCUCACAGUCCUACAGGAGAGCAGCAACCAUAAAUCUCAAGUUCAGAUUUCCUUUCUACGGACACGAAGUUGAGAAUAUAACAAUAGCAACUGGUGGAUUCUUGUACACGGGGGAUUAUGUACACUCCUGGCUUGCGGCAACACAGUAUAUAGCACCAUUAAUGGCAAACUUUGACACCUCAAACAAUCAGGAGGCGAAGAUUAGAUACCUGGAUACAGGAGAGCUUUUGGUCGUUGAGUGGAAGGAUGUUUAUCUACAAGAAAGAGAGAAGGAAGGACCGUUCACCUUCCAGGUUACAUUGAACAAGACGGGGGAUAUAUACUUUGCUUACUACAAGAUCCCCCUCGCCAUCACCACCAUACAGGACGAGGAGCAUCCGGUUAAAGUCGGACUAUCAGACGCCUACAUCAUAGACAGAACCAUCUUCUUUGUAAGGAGGAAAACAAUCUAUGAGUAUCAUCGUGUUAACUUGAAGAAUGAGAAUAUAUCUAGUCACACUGCUAUAGUGUUCAAGGCACUAUUCACAUGUAACACCCAGAAGACAUGCUCAGAGUGCCUAGCUAGCCGUGGUCCCCAGGAGACUAUAGAGUGUAAGUGGUGUCCAUCAACUGGACGCUGCUCUGAUGGUAUGGAUCGUAAUAGACAGGAUUGGAUUACGAACGGUUGUGACAAGAGCUUUUACUCCAACCUCAGUACAUGCACAGCACCCCCGGUCCCAUCUCCUCAAUCUCCUGCUACACCUGGAGAACAGGCUCCCAGGAGUGCAGAUCCUUCCUUUAUUUCAACCCAAGAUCCUGCUGUAAGUACGGGAGGAUUAACAGCUGUAGUAAUCCUUGUAUCGCUGGUCCUGCUGAUCUUCGGUUGGAUCGGAUACGCAUACUUCUAUCCUCACACCUGGUCAGGACAGAUUCUUAUAAAGUACCGACCUGGAGCCUGGAGAUGGAGGCAAGGUGGAACCAGAUAUACUGCAGCUUCCAUUCAUAUGUAAUCUAUACCAGCACACUUUCAAUAUUAGGAAAAUGAAUUGUUCACAAAUUGCAGAAAUCCAUUCAUUAUCUAUUAAUGGUUCUUCGAGUGGAACAGAAUGGAUCUUAACUCUUCUCUUUAGGAAGAAACAGGAAAAUCUACGAAUUGUCGGCCUACAUCUAGUAUUACACAGUACACAUUUAUAAACUAGGCCUACCAUAGACUUGGAAUCUAGAAUCUAUAUAUACAUAUAUAUCUAAUUAUUCACAUGUCUGUAAAAAGUUAGUAUUUUUGUGAACUCUCCUUAUAUUUGUAACAUAAUAGUUUAUAUUUCCCCCCCCCUCCCCCCCCCCGCUUCCGUAUUUGUUUGGCUGUGGUACCUUAGUUAAUGUUUUAUAAUAUCAAGUCUCGGUUCAUGGAUCCGUAUCAUUCAUAAAUUCAUUUAUUCAUUCAUUAUCAUUAAUUUGAUUAAUCUUCUCCUGUUCAUAUACAUAGAUAGGAUCAAGGAAGCCUGAGACUAGAAUUAUUUACAG